rnacentral:tRNA from 1 species
AUGUGGCUCAGUGGUAGAGCAUUUGCCCAACGUGCAUGAGGCCAUAGGUUUAAUUCCCAUCAU